AGGAAAUGGGAUAAUAACCUAAAGUUGCCCUUUAUGGACAAGAUGCCUAGGCAUUGAAUAAAGAAAUUGUAGAAGAGCAGUUGAAAGUAAACCCACAGACCUCAACCACAUGGCCAACCACUAUUUAUGGCCCACUCCAUGACAAGAAUACAUGUCGGAGUCAUACAGUGUAGCGAUGAAGGACUGUGGAUACAGAUCUCAAGGAUGGAGCCCUCCGAUCCUGAC